rnacentral:lncRNA from 1 species
CCAGCAUACUGUCUCCGUGAAGGAGCAGCUGAAUCAGUACUAGUAGAUGGGGAUGCAGCCACCUGAGAUCCUCUAAUAUUAAGUCUAGAAAUACUAGGAGUAGAUGAUGAUGCAGAUGAUAAUGGAAUGAGUGAUGAUGGAGGCACAAAAGAUGAACCAUCAUGCCGACUAGCAGGAAAACGAAAACUCAAAGGUGGCAAAUUAGGCGUAAGCAUAAAAUUAAUAGUAGUGGAGGUUGAACCACCCAGGGUCGGCAUGGGAUAAUAUUGUACUGUGCUAGGCGCGGGGGGGGGGGGGGGGGGGAGGGGGGAGGGGGAGGGGAGGGGAGGACUCAUANNNNNNNNNNNNNNNNNNNNNNNNNGGGNGAGGGAGGGGAGGGAGACUCUGAAAAACUCAGGUAGUAAUGCAGUCAUCGACUGAGAAGGACGAGAAAAACUAGGACGAGGACUCAUCCUAGGCAUGUGUGGAGGAAUGUGAUCACUCGUGGAUGGCAAAGUAUUUUUUUCCUUUUUAGAUUUUUUUCCAGUUCUUUACUCUUAGAAGUCAUUUGUGCAAAUUAAGUAAAACAAAAUAUGUGCAAAUUAAGUAAAACAAAAUAUAAUAAUAAAAAAAUUAACAGGUAAUAAUAUAAAACAAUUAUUCUAUAUAUUAUAACAAUUAAAAAAAGAUCAUAUAUAAAGUCCAACAAGAUAUAAAAAUAAAACAAUAAUAUAAUGAAUAACAUAAGAAAUCAAACAAGUCAUAAAACACACAAAUAACUCAAUCCUCAUCCUCGCUUGCUUCAUAUUCAACACUUGAAUCUCCAUCCUCGUUUGUCAUGGAUGUUCCUUCCUCAUAAUCACUUUGAUUUGAUCUAAGGACUGAAGGCUCGAAUUCCUCAUGGCCUUCAUUAUUCUGCAAUUCACCUGCUAGUUCAUCAUCUACCAUUGCUUCAACACUUAAAAUUUCAUUACGGUACGCUACACCUUAUGCAUCCUCGACCUCAACUCUACCCACGAGCUUUGUUUUUAUCACUACCCGCCAUGCAGCCUUCAUUUUGCACAAAGGAUAAUGUGCGUAAUAUACCUGUUUCAUAUUUUGUACUAUGAUAAAUGGGUCAUAGUGUCUAUACCUCCCCGUGCGCUUUAUUUCAACUAUUUUAUACUGCGGAUGCACCUUUGUAUCUCUUGUAGGUGUUGGAUCAUACCAUUUACACUGAAAGAGUACCAACUUUUUCUUUGGCCAACCAACACUAUACUCGAGUUCUAAUAUCUGUUGAAGCACACCAUACUAAUCAACAUCACCAUUAGCUUUCACACACACCACUAUUAUUAGUUUUUUUUGCCCUUGGGCCAUUCUUCUAUAUGAAACUUUUACCCAUUUGACGGAGUACUUAGACAUCAUUCUGAUCUUAGGGAUAGGUCCCCAAGUAAUGUCACGCAAAAAUGGAUCAUUUACGUCAUUAUCUGGAUUAUGAACCUAGAUCGAACCUAAUAUAUUACAAUUAAUUAGAAAUUGAAAAGUACGUACAUCUGAUAAUAAUUUGAAUUGGAAGAAACUUCGCUAAUACUUACAAAGUGUUUAAACCAUCCCAAAAACUUAGUAUAAAUAUGCCCAUGCCCAUAUGUACCCACAAACCAACUGUCCGGCAGAUUUGAAGCUUUUCAUUAGUUAAAAUGAUUGAUAAUUGAGAUUGAAUAUAAGUCGGCAAUAUAAAUAUACACUAACGUAUAAUAAGGUUGGACUUUGGGACAAUUUAGUAGAACAUGGGUUGUAGUUGACUUUAGCUCCAUCUCAAUCAAAAAUCGUGUUGGACUAUAUUUUGGACCACCUUUUCCAGGUUGAUUGAACAUGGAAAAGGAUGGUGCCAAUGGAUCGGUAUUGCCACCAUCAUCAUGCCGAUCAGGUCUAUUUCUUAAAUAUGGCACAUCAUGUUCAAAAUAAUAUGAACAGAGAUAAGAUAUUUCUCUAGCCAGAUAUGCCUCACAUAUCGAUCCCUCAAUCCUUGAUCUAUUUUUCACGGUCCACUUACAUUUGCCAAUCAUCCUGCAUAGCACGAUUCUGAGAUGAAAUAAUGUUAAACUAAAAUACGUAAGGAUAAUUGAUUAAAUAUAAUUAUCUCUCGAAGGGAUACAUCCAUCUACAUUGAACUGGCCCUCCUAACCGUGCCUCUUGCGCAAGGUGAAUUGGAAGAUAUUCCAUGACAUCGAAAAAAAUAAGCGGGAAAAUUUUCGCCAACUUGUUUAAAGUUAAGCGAAUGUUACUGUCCGUGUAAGCUAGGUUCUCCACCCUCAAUGUGCUAGAGAACAAGUCAUUGAAAAAUAAGCAUAUCUCUGUGAUGGGCUUCCAUAUUCUAUCAAGCAAAGCAUUGAAUACAAUAGGCAUCAAAGAUUCCAUGAAAUGUGACAAUCGUGGCUUUUCUUAGACGUCAACUUCCCAUCUUUCAUGUCAACACACCUAGAUAAGUUUGAUGCAUACCCAUUACGCAUCCUCAAAUUAUUAUCUCAAUUACAAAUCUCUCUUCUUUCAUCCAAAGUGUAUGUGUAACUAGCCUUAGGCUUCUGAAUCUUAUUGUUCAAGUAUGUCAAGUACAACUCAUCCCGCUUACAAUAUUCUUUCAAUCCAUCUCAGCCUUCAAGUUAUCUUUUGUCUUGUUGAUUACAUCCAUAAUAGUAUUAAACAAGUUAUCAAAAACGCUUUUCUUGAUAUGCAUGACAUCAAGAUUAUGCCGAAGAAGAUUGUGCUUCUAAUAAGGUAACUCCCAAAAAAUGCUCUGUUUUGUCUAGUUAUGUAUUACACCAUACCCCGGUAUCUUAUUAGGCAAUAGAUACUCUGCUACCUUAGGUAGAUUCAUAACUCUGUUCCAAAUCUCUUCAGGUGACAAGACACGCGGUGGCUCCUCAUAAUCAGUUUUUUUCUUCAUAAAUAUACUAGUAUUUCUCCUUAACUCAUGAUCCAUUGGCAAGAAGUGGCGAUGACAGUCAAACCAUGUGUUCUUGCCUCCAUGUUUCAAAGUGAAUAUUUUUGUGUCUUCCAUACAAGCAGGGCAAGCUAACUUUCCGGUAGUUGACCAUUCGGACAUCAUUCCAUAAGCAGAAAAAUCGUUUAUAGUCCACAUCAAAGCAACACGGAGUCUGAAAUUUUGCUUAGUUUAUAAAUCAUAUAUUUCCACGCUUUCAUGCCACAAUAACUUCAACUCAUCAAUUAGGAAAUGCAUGUAUACAUCAAUCAAUUUUUUGGAUUGCGUGGACCUGAAACAAUACAAGUUACAAACAAAUAUUGACUUGUUAUUCAUAAUUCAAGCGGCGGAUUAUACGGCAUAACAAACACUGGCCAACAUGAAUAUGGUGCAGUAGACACUACAAAUGGAGUGAAUCCAUCUGCACAUAAUCCCAGCCUAAUAUUUCUCGGCUCAUCGGCAAAGUCCGGGAACACCCUAUCAAAAUGCUUCCAUGCUUCUCCAUCUGACGAAUGACAUAGCACACCAUCUGGCCUUCUAUGUUCAUAAUGUCAUCUCAUAUGAAGAGCGGAACUAAUUGAUGCAUACCUCUUUAACCUUUGUAUAAGGGGUAAGUAGUGCGUCGCCUUCACUGGAGCCUUCUUCUGUUUAGCAUUUGUGACUUCUUUGUAACAUGGCUGGUUACAAAAUUUAUAAUUUUCUAAAGAUGCAUCAUCCUUAUAGAAUAACAUGAAACCUUUCUCACAAUAAUCAAUCCCUCCGAUGAAAGACCCAACUUGAAAAUCAAUUUAUUUGUCGUGUAAAAAUAUUUGAGCAAGUCAAUCUUGGUCAGAUUAAGUUAAUUUAUAAGGCCAAUGAUAGAAUCCAUGCCCGCUUGAGAAAUAGAAUUAUUUGAUUUAAUACAUAGUAAUCUAACAGCAGCAGACAACUUGAAAUGUGUUGCGCCUUCAUAAAGCGGACAACUAGCUUCAUCUAACUACGUGAAGAAGCUCUUAGCCACAUCAUUUGGUUCAAAUUGAGCCCACAGAAUAUCUCAUAAGCAUCCUCAUCAUUUCACUAAAUCUAAAAUUUUCAACAUUAAUACUCUCCGCUAUGGGACUACCUUCUUCACUACCAGAUGAGUUCUGAAAAUGAACAUUAUCUACACUAGCAUGACUCUCUCCAUGCACAGUCCACAUAUAAUAAUUUUCCAUAAACCCCUUCUUAUACAAAUGAACAGUAAUAUUAUUGGGGGACCCAAUAACUUAAGACACUUACAUUUCACACAGGGGAACCUAAUCGUCCCUUCAAUAAGGAAAUCAUCAAGUGUCUUUGCCUUAGCAAUAAAGCUAGCAACCCCUUCUAUAAAUUCAUCUCGCAACCCCAUACGAUGACGAGCACCAAACACAACACAAAAUUGAUGCUCGCUAGCCAAAGAUAGUAUAGUUAAAUUAUCAUCUCCAUAUGGAUGCUAUUCGGGAUGAUCGAAACUUGAUUUGGAAUGAUUACAGACUACGACUAACUACUAAAGUAAAGCAAUUGAUGAUUGACUCAACAAACUAGAGAUUAACAAAGUCGGUUUCUUAUCAAUGUGAGAAAUAAGGAUUAUGAUAUGAUAGGUGCAAUAUAGCUAUUUGGGAUCCAACUCUAGUUUAAUCCACUCUAAUAUUCUAAUGAUUAUCAUGAAUUCACUCGAUGAUUAGUUCAAACGUGUAGUCAAGACUCCUCUCUCAAUUAAAUCUUAACUCUAUGAUGUGAACUAAUAUUAGCACUAUGAAAAUAUGCAAGCAUGUGUUAAUGGAUUAGUCUUUAGGAAAACAUCUCUCGAACAUUCUCCUAACUUGAUUCAAUCAAUAAUUCAACAAGCACUUUCGAUUACUUAAGAGAAUUACUGAAUUAAAUCAAAUAAAAUAAUACAAAGAUAAUCUCCAAAAUAUUUCUCUUUCGAUUAAAUAAACCGGUGAAUAAAGUUAUAACAAUUCAAAGCUCAUAAACGAAUUCAAGCUAAGAACUAGAGUUAAAAUCUACAAAUAUCAAUUAAAACACCAUAUCCAUCAAACCCUAAGGGAAACUACUCCAUAAUCAUGGAAGAAGUCAUCACAAAUAUAAUUAAAGAGCAAGAAAAUAUCAAUAUAACGUUACAAUCCAAACUCCCGUAUUGAAUUGAUGAAAAGAUGAUGAAAUUCUGUAUCUUGUAGCCUGCAAUGCUCUCCUAAAGCUUUCAAGGUCAAAAGUCCCUUCAAAAAUAUUUUUUUGUGUAUUUAUACCAUGUACGAGAGGGCCCGGGCGAAACUACCAUUUUCAAGUUGAAAUGGGAAAAUACUCUGAGAAAAUUGUACAGGCGCGCCGCGCCAUGCGCCGCCUCAUGUGGGGGCGUUAGUGGAAAAGUUCAGAGAGCAGAUUCUGACAGGGUAGUGGCAUGACAGUAUACUUUUUACAGAGUAAUUCAUUUUCUUCAAAUUUUGAUAUCCAGACUUUACUCUCGAUCUCCGAACGCGAUUCCGAUUUAAUCUCUUGGGCUUUUACUCAGACUUCAAAGCUCCAACUUGUUAGGUUUAGCUCCCGAUUAUCUUUUUAACUAGGAAUCACUUCUUGUAAGGUAUAAAACACAUAAUAAGUGCAGUUCACUAUCAUUCAAGCUCAAACACAAAUAAAAUGCAGUAAUUAGAGUGCAAAUUACGACUAAAAUAUGGGAUUCUAGCCUACCAUCAUACGAUUUGAAUGAUUCCUAUUAUACAUCCAUCUACGAUCCCCAAAUUCCAUCUACACAAACAAAUAUAAUUGCUAAACUUCUCUAAACUUCACUAUUAUCUUCAUUUCAUAAGUAAGAAAUUAGAUUUUUAAAACAAAAGUUACGUAAUUAAAUAUGCUCAUAAUUUUUCACUCUAUCCCCAAUCCCAACAAACUUUCUUGAUGCUUUUUCAACAAACCUUAAUCCAAAAUAUAAUUAAGGUGAUAUUAUGUACAUUUUUCUUAUUGCAUAAUAAUUAAUAAAAUGCCAUAUCUUUGCAAGUCUUAGAAUUGCAUAUUUAGAGCUUUAGUUAUAAUGAUUUCUCAAGAUGUCAACUUAGAUAAAGGAAAGGGCAUCAUUUUUCGUCGUUAAUUAUUAAGGAGUAGAUUUCUUGAUCAAUACCAUAUACAAAUUAAACAAAACUAGCACACAAGUAUAUAUAAUUCACUUGAACAUAAUAUUAUGAAGAGGAAUUAAGAAAAUUCAAAGUCUAAAGGUUAAUUAUUACUAGUCCACUCAAAAUAAAGUAAGUUAAAAAGCCAUAUAGAAUAACUAGAUAGUUAAAAAAUAUAUAAACAAAAAUAUAUUAAGAACAAAUAUAUCAAAAUUCUACUUGAAUUGCAAUAAACAACUAGCUAGUUACAAACAAAUAAUAUAUAGAACAAAUAUAUUAAGAUUCAUAAAACAAAAAUCGAAGAAAUUAAAUAUAUUAAGAUUCUACUUAUAUUGCAAUAAAAAAAUAAAAAUAAAACAAAUAUACUAUGAUUCAAAGCGGCUAAAGGAUGAGCGUAAAACUUACCUCGCCGGAAGAUAACCACGCCCAGACACCGUAGUUGCUGGACGCCGGAGUUGCUGCCUGAAAAAGAAAAAAAAUUAAGAUGGGGUUCAAAUACAUGAAAUCUGGCCGCGAGAAAGGGAGGAGGGAGAGAGAUAGGGAGGAGGAAGAGAGUGGUUCUCAUAGCCGGAAUUUGAUACUCAAAGCAGACCGCCGGUGAUGGAGGAGAAAGAAAGGAAGAAAAGAGAAAGAGGAGGAGAAAAGAAGAAAUGGGUCCGGGGGAG